rnacentral:rRNA from 1 species
UUAAGUGACUAAGCGUACACGGUGGAUGCCUGGGCAGUCAGAGGCGAUGAAGGACGUACUAACUUGCGAUAAGCGCAGAUAAGGCAGUAAGAGCCGUUUGAGUCUGCGAUUUCCGAAUGGGGAAACCCAACUGCAUAAGCAGUUACUGUUAACUGAAUACAUAGGUUAACAGAGCAAACCGGGGGAACUGAAACAUCUAAGUACCCCGAGGAGAAGAAAUCAACCGAGAUUCCGGUAGUAGCGGCGAGCGAACCUGGAUUAGCCCUUAAGCACUCGGUGAAGUAGGUGAACAAGCUGGAAAGCUUGGCGAUACAGGGUGAUAGCCCCGUAACCGACGCUUCAUCGAGCGUGAAAUCGAGUAGGGCGGGACACGUGAUAUCCUGUCUGAAUAUGGGGGACCAUCCUCCAAGGCUAAAUACUCCUGACUGACCGAUAGUGAACCAGUACCGUGAGGGAAAGGCGAAAAGAACCCCUGUGAGGGGAGUGAAAUAGAACCUGAAACCGUGUACGUACAAGCAGUAGGAGCACCUUCGUGGUGUGACUGCGUACCUUUUGUAUAAUGGGUCAGCGACUUAUAUUCAGUGGCAAGGUUAACCGUAUAGGGGAGCCGUAGCGAAAGCGAGUCUUAACUGGGCGUUCAGUCUCUGGAUAUAGACCCGAAACCGGGUGAUCUAGCCAUGGGCAGGUUGAAGGUUGAGUAACAUCAACUGGAGGACCGAACCGACUAAUGUUGAAAAAUUAGCGGAUGACUUGUGGCUAGGGGUGAAAGGCCAAUCAAACUCGGAGAUAGCUGGUUCUCCCCGAAAGCUAUUUAGGUAGCGCCUCGGACGAAUACUACUGGGGGUAGAGCACUGUUAAGGCUAGGGGGUCAUCCCGACUUACCAACCCUUUGCAAACUCCGAAUACCAGUAAGUACUAUCCGGGAGACACACGGCGGGUGCUAACGUCCGUCGUGGAGAGGGAAACAACCCAGACCGCCAGCUAAGGUCCCAAAGUAUUGCUAAGUGGGAAACGAUGUGGGAAGGCUCAGACAGCUAGGAUGUUGGCUUAGAAGCAGCCAUCAUUUAAAGAAAGCGUAAUAGCUCACUAGUCGAGUCGGCCUGCGCGGAAGAUGUAACGGGGCUAAGCAAUACACCGAAGCUGCGGCAAUAUCUUUUAGAUAUUGGGUAGGGGAGCGUUCUGUAAGCCGUUGAAGGUGAAUCGUAAGGUUUGCUGGAGGUAUCAGAAGUGCGAAUGCUGACAUGAGUAACGACAAAGGGGGUGAAAAACCUCCUCGCCGGAAGACCAAGGGUUCCUGUCCAACGUUAAUCGGGGCAGGGUGAGUCGACCCCUAAGGUGAGGCCGAAAGGCGUAAUCGAUGGGAAACGGGUUAAUAUUCCCGUACUUCUGACUAUUGCGAUGGGGGGACGGAGAAGGCUAGGUGGGCCAGGCGACGGUUGUCCUGGUUCAAGUGCGUAGGCUUGAGAGUUAGGUAAAUCCGGCUCUCUCUAAGGCUGAGACACGACGUCGAGCUGCUACGGCAGUGAAGUCAUUGAUGCCAUGCUUCCAGGAAAAGCCUCUAAGCUUCAGAUAGUCAGGAAUCGUACCCCAAACCGACACAGGUGGUCGGGUAGAGAAUACCAAGGCGCUUGAGAGAACUCGGGUGAAGGAACUAGGCAAAAUGGUACCGUAACUUCGGGAGAAGGUACGCUCUUGAUGGUGAAGUCCCUCGCGGAUGGAGCUGACGAGAGUCGCAGAUACCAGGUGGCUGCAACUGUUUAUUAAAAACACAGCACUGUGCAAAAUCGCAAGAUGACGUAUACGGUGUGACGCCUGCCCGGUGCCGGAAGGUUAAUUGAUGGGGUUAGCGCAAGCGAAGCUCUUGAUCGAAGCCCCGGUAAACGGCGGCCGUAACUAUAACGGUCCUAAGGUAGCGAAAUUCCUUGUCGGGUAAGUUCCGACCUGCACGAAUGGCGUAAUGAUGGCCACGCUGUCUCCACCCGAGACUCAGUGAAAUUGAAAUCGCUGUGAAGAUGCAGUGUACCCGCGGCUAGACGGAAAGACCCCGUGAACCUUUACUACAGCUUGGCACUGAACAUUGAACCUACAUGUGUAGGAUAGGUGGGAGGCUAUGAAGACGUGACGCCAGUUGCGUUGGAGCCGUCCUUGAAAUACCACCCUUGUAUGUUUGAUGUUCUAACUUAGACCCAUUAUCUGGGUUGAGGACAGUGCCUGGUGGGUAGUUUGACUGGGGCGGUCUCCUCCCAAAGAGUAACGGAGGAGCACGAAGGUGGGCUAAUCACGGUUGGACAUCGUGAGGUUAGUGCAAUGGCAUAAGCCCGCUUAACUGCGAGAAUGACGGUUCGAGCAGGUGCGAAAGCAGGUCAUAGUGAUCCGGUGGUUCUGUAUGGAAGGGCCAUCGCUCAACGGAUAAAAGGUACUCCGGGGAUAACAGGCUGAUACCGCCCAAGAGUUCAUAUCGACGGCGGUGUUUGGCACCUCGAUGUCGGCUCAUCACAUCCUGGGGCUGAAGUCGGUCCCAAGGGUAUGGCUGUUCGCCAUUUAAAGUGGUACGCGAGCUGGGUUUAGAACGUCGUGAGACAGUUCGGUCCCUAUCUGCCGUGGGCGUUGGAAGAUUGAAGGGGGCUGCUCCUAGUACGAGAGGACCGGAGUGGACGAACCUCUGGUGUUCGGGUUGUGUCGCCAGACGCAUUGCCCGGUAGCUAAGUUCGGAAUUGAUAAGCGCUGAAAGCAUCUAAGCGCGAAGCGAGCCCUGAGAUGAGUCUUCCCUGAUACUUUAAGUAUCCUAAAGGGUUGUUCGAGACUAGAACGUUGAUAGGCAGGGUGUGUAAGCGUUGUGAGGCGUUGAGCUAACCUGUACUAAUUGCCCGUGAGGCUUAACC